rnacentral:rRNA from 1 species
GUGACAUGCGGAGGAUCAUUACUAAAGCAAAGGAUAGACAGCACCCGCGGAGCUCGCUCCCGGGGCUACCCUACUCCCGGUAGGGUUUAGAGUCGUCGGGCCUCUCGGAGAAGCUCGGUCCUGAACUCCACCCUUGAAUAAACUACCUUUGUUGCUUUGGCGGGCCGCCUCGUGCCAGCGGCUUCGGCUGUUGAGUGCCCGCCAGAGGACCACAACUCUUGUUUUUAGUGAUGUCUGAGUACUAUAUAAUAGUUAAAACUUUCAACAACGGAUCUCUUGGUUCUGGCAUCGAUGAAGAACGCAGCGAAAUGCGAUAAGUAAUGUGAAUUGCAGAAUUCAGUGAAUCAUCGAAUCUUUGAACGCACAUUGCGCCCUCUGGUAUUCCGGGGGGCAUGCCUGUUCGAGCGUCAUUAUAACCACUCAAGCUCUCGCUUGGUAUUGGGGUUCGCGGUUUCGCGGCCCCUAAAAUCAGUGGCGGUGCCUGUCGGCUCUACGCGUAGUAAUACUCCUCGCGAUUGAGUCCGGUAGGUCUACUUGCCAGCAACCCCUAAUUUUUUAAGGUUGACCUCGGAUCAGGUAGGGAUACCCGCUGAACUUAAGCAUAUCAAUAAGCGGAGGAAAAGAAACCAACAGGGAUUACCUCAGUAACGGCGAGUGAAGCGGUAACAGCUCAAAUUUGAAAGCUGGCUCUUUUAGGGUCCGCGUUGUAAUUUGUAGAAGAUGCUUCGGGUGUGGCCCCGGUCUAAGUUCCUUGGAACAGGACGUCAUAGAGGGUGAGAAUCCCGUAUGUGACUGGGUGCUUUCGCUCAUGUGAAGCUCUUUCGACGAGUCGAGUUGUUUGGGAAUGCAGCUCAAAAUGGGUGGUAAAUUUCAUCUAAAGCUAAAUAUUGGCCAGAGACCGAUAGCGCACAAGUAGAGUGAUCGAAAGAUGAAAAGCACUUUGGAAAGAGAGUUAAACAGUACGUGAAAUUGUUGAAAGGGAAGCGCUUGCAACCAGACUUGCGCGCUGAUGAUCAUCCGGGCUUCUGUCCGGUGCACUCGUCUGCGCUCAGGCCAGCAUCGGAUUUCGGUGGUGGGAUAAAGGCCCUUGGGAAUGGUGGCUCCUCUCGGGGAGUGUUAUAGCCCUCGGUGCAAUGCCGCCUACCGGGACCGAGGACCGCGCUUCGGCUA